rnacentral:misc_RNA from 1 species
GAUGAAGAACGCAGCGAAAUGCGAUAAGUAAUGUGAAUUGCAGAAUUCAGUGAAUCAUCGAAUCUUUGAACGCACAUUGCGCCCCUUGGUAUUCCGGGGGGCAUGCCUGUUCGAGCGUCAUUUCAACCCUCAAGCUCUGCUUGGUAUUGGGCACCGUCCUUUGCGGGCGCGCCUCAAAGACCUCGGCGGUGGCGUCUUGCCUCAAGCGUAGUAGAAUACACCUCGCUUCGGAGCGUAAGGCGUCGCCCGCCGGACGAACCUUCUGAACUUUUCUCAAGGUUGACCUCGGAUCAGGUAUGGAUACCCGCUGAACUUAAGCAUAUCAAUAAGCGGAGGA